rnacentral:rRNA from 1 species
AGGGUUUGAUCAUGGCUCAGGAUGAACGCUGGCGGCGUGCUUAACACAUGCAAGUCGAGCGAAGCAGUUAAGAAGAUUCUUCGGAUGGUUCUUGACUGACUGAGCGGCGGACGGGUGAGUAACGCGUGGGUGACCUGCCCCAUACCGGGGGAUAACAGCUGGAAACGGCUGCUAAUACCGCAUAAGCGCACAGAGCUGCAUGGCUCGGUGUGAAAAACUCCGGUGGUAUAAGAUGGACCCGCGUUGGAUUAGCUAGUUGGUGAGGUAACGGCCCACCAAGGCGACGAUCCAUAGCCGGCCUGAGAGGGUGAACGGCCACAUUGGGACUGAGACACGGCCCAG